rnacentral:misc_RNA from 1 species
AAGUCGUAACAAGGUUUCCGUAGGUGAACCUGCGGAAGGAUCAUUAACAAAUCAACAAUCACGUUGCCGAGGGAUCGCAGUGGGCGUUGGAACGGCCGAGGGAUUCAGAUGCACGGGGGGCUUGCAGUAUGCAGUGGGAUUGCAGUGGGAUGGGAACGGCAGAGGGAUUUACUUGGCGGUUUGGCGAGGGAUCAAAUGGGGGAGAGCAUAUGGCGUGGCAGGGCAUUUUUGAAUGCACAGCCAGCCAAACACCAUAUCUAAUGCAUUAUGCAUGUACAACUAUUAACAAUGGAUCUCUAGGCUCUU